CAAUUUACCAUCAGCAAUUUAUGUUUUCUAGAGAUGAGAUUUCGAUACAAAAGAAAAAAAAAGGUUCAAACUUCAAAGCGAUUUCUCGAUUCCCCUAUCCUUCAAAAGUCUAUUCCUUUUCUUCGCUUCGGUGACAAAGGUCAAUCUUUGCCGAAACAGGAAACUUUGAUUGAUUAUGGACUUCUAGAUCCAUAAUAUCUCACAGAUGUAGUAGGUGUGUUAGCAAGGGUAACUACUCCGCAGAACAUUGGUUGCGGCUGAGAUCUAUCACAUAUUGCACAGCUAUCCAGGUUGUGGUUAUAGUUAUCUCAUUAAUGUUUCCCCUGUUGGACUUUUAUUUUGUGGUGUAUAUAAUGAACAUAUAUUGUGAAAAUCACCUCUGUUGGAUGAUUCCGAGGAGGUCUGCCGUAAGUUACAACACCCUUGGAACAAUAAAACGCCUUCUGAAGUCAUUGUACCAGGACUUAUCUUAAAGAAAACCAUGUGGUUACAGGAAAUGGGGAGAUGUCUAUGACAGUGCUUCCUUCCAAUACAAUAGGAAUAUCAACACUCUUAUCCUUUCUUUUUCCUUCGUUUUGUAAUUUUAAAAUCUUAAUUAGUUGUGUUAUCUAGGGUACCUGAACUCGGUGUGAUCCUAAUUGAUUAUCGUUAUAGAUUUAUUGCAGAGUUUCAACUGAUUGACCUUUUAGAAGUCUUAAUAUUUGCUACAUAAAUUUUUUCUGUUUAUAUAUUUCAUCUCUCAGUAACCAUCUUAUAAGCAUUUUUAGGUCUUCAAUAAUAUAGUUUUUUUUUUGAGCUAGCAUCUAAAUAGAAAUACGUCAUUUCAUAUAGUCUCUAAAAUUAUGUUUUCUGUUUGUUUAGUUUCUUUCUUUGUUUGAACCAACAUUUCUGGAUUUUCAUCAUUUGUGUUAUGCUGUGAUUCUUACAUUUCUCAAUAGCAUAAAUGUCCCACGUGCUAACAUUCGCGUUAUGACACACUCUAUUUUUUUUUUAUCCUGAAUGAAUUCGUAUCUCAUUAUGUUCACACACCUUUAGUGGAUGCAAAUGAAUGAUAACGGGAACAAGCAUUCUUUUGGGCGAAUACUUUAUGAAAACAAUUAUUAUGUUAGAAGGGUUUCCCCCGAGUAGUGAAGAACUAUAAUGAUGUUAGAGGUUGUGUAUGGUUUUAUACUUAAGUUACUAUUGAAAUAUUCAUCAAUUUUUACUAAUGAACAAACAUUUCAAUUUUUAGCAGAUUUUUUUUUUGUUGUUGUAGUUGGAAGAUGUUGUGGAUGCUCUAGCCUCCCUAACAACUCUAAAAUAAAUUAAGCGAGCAAAUGGAUAACAAUCCAUUAUGCGUAACCCGACUCUCCAAAAUCUCAGUGGCAGCGGUGUGAAUAUGAAGAUUACUCUGUGGAGCGACUCCACAAGAGAGGUAAGCCGUAACGUAGACGAACACAGCAUUGAACAAACACCAGUUGUAGUUGUCGUAACGGGUGUUCCAUCAAAAAAUAUCAAGGGAAGUUAUCUUUCUCAUCAACGAAUUCCACCAAAAUCUACUUCGACGUGGACCUUCCUGAUAUGAUGGAUAUCCGAUAGAGGAAUAAAGUAAAAUUCUGCGUGGUGCAGCAACCUAUAUCGACAUUUGAGCAGUGGUUGGUGGUACUGAUGGGGAUGCAACAACUGGAACACGAAAGUGGUUGAAGAGGAGGGUGACCAAUGGAGUACCUUUUGAGAAGCAAAGACAUAGGAACCAAUACCCAGGUGCUAUUAUUACUUAUUACAUACCUACGGCUCCGGUAAUAAGGAAAUGAGGAAAACUAUGCUUAUUUGUUUGUCAGUACUUCAACUCUUUUAAUUUUGACAUAGGUUCUUGCUCCGGUUCAACCAUUUUUGUACCACUUGAUGGUGAGAUGCAAAAAAUUGUCUUAGCAACAACAUCAGUGGUCGUGAUGACGGGAAAGGUACAAAAACCUAUUUAGAUUCUUUAAGAUAAUCUCAUAGCAUAAUAAACCAUAGGUAUUGAAUUGUUGUUUAAAUACUACGUGUGCAUGUCGGGAAUGAUUACCAAAUCACACUCAACAUUUAACAUGAGAAGGAAAACUUCUCCCAGCUUCACAGUUUCCAAGUUUUUGCCGGACAACCUUGGCAAUCAAGUUUAUAUUUCAAAACCCUCCCGUGCACCAUCCCAAUGAAACAUGAAAUUGUAUCAGAUUUGAAGGAGGACCUUCCAAUCCAAAAACCGCGGCCAGAAAUGAAGGGAUCCAAAGCUGUUGUGCGCACAUAAGUUGAAGACUGAUUGUUGUCCGUUUAUGGA